rnacentral:rRNA from 1 species
GACGAACGCUGGCGGCGUGCUUAACACAUGCAAGUCGAGCGGUAAGGCCCUUUCGGGGGUACACGAGCGGCGAACGGGUGAGUAACACGUGGGUGACCUGCCUCUAGCUCUGGGAUAAGCCCGGGAAACUGGGUCUAAUACUGGAUAUGACUCCAUGACGCAUGUUGUGGGGUGGAAAGCCUUGUGCGGCUAGAGAUGGGCCCGCGGCCUAUCAGCUUGUUGGUGGGGNGAUGGCCUACCAAGGCGACGACGGGUAGCCGGCCUGAGAGGGCGACCGGCCACACUGGGACUGAGACACGGCCCAGACUCCUACGGGAGGCAGCAGUGGGGAAUCUUGCGCAAUGGGCGAAAGCCUGACGCAGCGACGCCGCGUGAGGGAUGACGGCCUGG